UACUCUAAUAAGUAAUUUUUAGUUUAAUUAAAAAAUUAACAAAUUUUAAAAGAGUAGAUGUUUAAUUUUCUGCUUGUUAUAAUGACCCGAUAAUAUUCUUUGAAUAAGUUAUCGAUUAACGGAUAAAAGGUACGCCGGGGAUAACAGGCUAAUAACUUUUAAGAGUUCCCAUCGAUGAAGUUGAUUGGCACCUCGAUGUCGGCUCAUCAUAUCCUGGUUGAGAAUAAUCUUCCAAGGGUCGGUCUGUUCUACCGUUAAAAUGGUACGUGAGCUGGGUUCAGAACGUCGUGAGACAGUUCGGUCCCUAUCUGCCGUGGGUGUUUGAGACUUGAGAGGAGCUGUCCCUAGUACGAGAGGACCGGGAUGGACGCACCUCUGGUGUACCGGUUGUCACGCCAGUGGCACCGCCGGGUAGCUAAGUGCUGAAGGGAUAACUGCUGAAAGCAUCUAAGCGGGAAGCCCACCUCAAAACUAGGAUUCAUUGAGAACCGUGGGAGACGACCACGUUGAUAGGCUAGAUGUGUAAGCACAGUAAUGUGUUCAGCUAACUAGUACUAAUAGUUCGAAUCGCUUGAUCAA
rnacentral:rRNA from 1 species